GACAUCUCUGCUCAUGCAACUGCACCUGCAGAAGUAUUUUUAGGGGAGGUACAAAGUGUUACUCCCCUCUCCCCAGGCACAGGGACGUGUGUCCUGGCAGUCCUUCAUCCCAUGGCCUGACCCAGCCACAUAACUGGGCAGUGCUGUCACAUGGAGCUGGAAAUAUAAACGUGGGGACGAGUCAGGGGCAGAUUGGCUGUUUGCAAGGUGGCACCUGGCUCAGAGAGAGGAAACUGGACCUCACACCCUGACAGGGAUGGUGAUCCAGGGAGGAUGAGCGAGCAUCACCCAGGAGAGGCACCCUCACACCCCUCCCAGGCACCGUUUUCUCGCAUCCUGCGAAUAAACCAGCAAUUUAAUCCAAGUGGUGCUGCUGCAGCAGGGCCUGGUGACCGUCUGACCCUCAUUGUACCCCCUACCCAUCAGCAUCCCACCCUGCUGGAGUUAUAAAUAUGACACAAUAGAGCCUUAACUGGAUUAUAAUUAGACAAUGAGCCUGGGAGGACGGAAACAAUGAACUAUAUAAGCCUGUCUAUCCUCCCAGCCAGGACCUG
rnacentral:lncRNA from 1 species